rnacentral:rRNA from 1 species
CACUCUGACCAGCCAUGCCGCGUGCAGGAUGACGGUCCUAUGGAUUGUAAACUGCUUUUGUACAGGAAGAAACCUCCCUACUAGUAGGGACUUGACGGUACUGUAAGAAUAAGGAUCGGCUAACUCCGUGCCAGCCGCCGCGGUAAUACGGAGGAUCCGAGCGUUAUCCGGAAUUAUUGGGUUUAAAGGGUUCGUAGGCGGCUUUGUAAGUCAGUGGUGAAAUUUCCUAGCUUAACUAGGCCACUGCCAUUGAUACUGCAGAGCUUGAAUAAUAUGGAAGUAACUAGAAUAUGUAGUGUAGCGGUGAAAUGCUUAGAUAUUACAUGGAAUACCAAUUGCGAAGGCAGGUUACUACGUAUUUAUUGACGCUGAUGAACGAAAGCGUGGGGAGCGAACAGGAUUAGAUACCCUGGUAGUCCACGCCGUAAACGAUGGAUACUAGCUGUUCGGAUUUCGGUCUGAGUGGCUAAGCGAAAGUGAUAAGUAUCCCACCUGGGGAGUACGUUCGCAAGAAUGAAACUCAAAGAAAUUUGACGGA